AGAGUGGCGAACGGGUGAGUAAUAUAUCGGAACGUGCCCAGUCGUGGGGGAUAACGUAGAGAAAUUUACGCUAAUACCGCAUACGAUCUAAGGAUGAAAGCGGGGGAUCGCAAGACCUCGCGCGAUUGGAGCGGCUGAUAUCAGAUUAGGUUGUUGGUGAGGUAAAAGCUCACCAAGCCGACGAUCUGUAGCUGGUUUGAGAGAACGACCAGCCACACUGGGACUGAGACACGGCCCAGACUCCUACGGGAGGCAGCAGUGGGGAAUUUUGGACAAUGGGCGAAAGCCUGAUCCAGCAAUGCCGCGUGUGGGAAGAAGGCCUUCGGGUUGUAAACCACUUUUGUACGGAACGAAACGGUUCGCUUUAAUACAGUGGGCUGAUGACGGUACCGUAAGAAUAAGCACCGGCUAACUACGUGCCAGCAGCCGCGGUAAUACGUAGGGUGCGAGCGUUAAUCGGAAUUACUGGGCGUAAAGCGUGCGCAGGCGGUUAUAUAAGACAGUUGUGAAAUCCCCGGGCUCAACCUGGGAAUUGCAUCUGUGACUGUAUGGCUGGAGUACGGUAGAGGGGGAUGGAAUUCCGC
rnacentral:rRNA from 1 species